ensembl:antisense A230072E10Rik RIKEN cDNA A230072E10 gene
GUUGCCCACGUGUCCCACGAUCAGUUGCGCAGUCUGCCGCUCCGCCUGGCACCGACGGCCCCACUCGGCCAGUCGGUCCUUCCCCAGGCCCCCAGGGAACAUGACCACCAGCUCCAGGCCGUCUCCGCCCGGAUAGGCACAAGCCUGGCACAGCGCUGACAAGUAGCCCAGCAUGGCAUUCCACUGGCCGCCACAAACCCAAUCCGUCUGGUAGCCACCAUAGAGCCGCGGCAGCGCCGAGCCCGCGUCUACCAAUACCCGAGCCCCAGGCAGCGGAGGGGGCGGCGGCGGAUGCAGCCCUGGCGGCGCUUGGCCAUGGUGGUGGAAAUGGUGAGCAGGGUGAUGGUGCCGAGACGGCCCCGCGCCCCCGGAGUAAGCACCAAAGGCAGCGGGCGGGAGCGGCGGCGGCGGCAGAGGAGCAGAGCCCCUGGUGAUGCGUGGAGCCCCUGGCGCUAGGGCUGCUGGCGGCAGCUGGCGGUGCAGGUGCUGCUGCUGCUGCUGGCGCGAGACGGUGCGCGCGAGUUUGAGGAGGUCCACAGGCACCACAGCCCCGGGACAGCGCUUCUCCAGGAACUCUUGGAAGCCCUGGACGCCCAUGCUUCCUCCGUGGGUAGAAGGAACAGCGGCUGCGCAAGCGGGCCAGUCGGCGAUCCCCGCGCGAAGCUGGAGGCGGGCGCGUGCGCACUCCGCGGGGGUCUCUGGCAUCCAACACCUGUGAUGUACCUCAAGGCCUGCUGAUGAGAUUCUGGGACAAGCAACCAAAAGCCAGCAAAGAAAAGUGCAUGGUAACAAAUCCAAGGCUUCUUAAUUGCCAAGCAAGUGCUCUACCACUAAGCUAUAAUCUCAAUGCCAGAAGGGAAUAAUGUCUGGUGGCCUACCAGAGGGGCUGCUGUGGCUGUUGCUAAUCGGACAAUGCUGUGGAAGGUUUCAUAAAGAGUUCGCAACUUGCGUGAAGAAACUGAAGCUUUAUGAGUGGGCAUGGCAGGCUCCACUUCGAUCAACUGCGACACUGCAGCUUCAGCAAAGAUGAAUGGUUCCAUCGCUUGACACAGCAGCAGGAUAGGCCUCUGGAUCGCCUGGAAGUGAAGCAUCUGGGGACAUCUCCUAAUAGAGACAGAAUCAAAGAAAAACAAGGUGAUAAUAAUUUAGGUAAGGCAAAUAAGUUUUUUGGUAUACUGGAGUUUCUUAUAUGGAUUAAUAACUAACCAAAAAUAGUACACUAUGAACUGUUGCAGUAACACUACCAUAUCAAUCUAAAACUGAAGCCUUGACAUUUCUUUGGAAUUACUAUGUCUUCAAGUAAAACCAAACAGAAUAUUAAUUUCCCAGGCCAAAAUUUACAUCAACUUUGAAAACUAAAAUUUAAAAUAAGCUUUUUUAUAUGUGCCAAAUAACUGAAAAAACUAUUUUUUGGUUCAGUAGAGACAAGGAAUCGUGUAAACCAGGUUGUCCUUGAUCCGGCUCCGACUGUCUUUAGCUCCCAAGGGUAUGCAGCACCAUGACUGGAUAUAAAUGCUAUUAAAUGAAAUGUUAGUUUGCUCUCUUACUGUCUAAGAUUUCAAGAUGCUAGAUAUAUCAUACAAUAAAAAAAGAAGAUAUUUUAAUGUCACUGUUUGAGUGACAAAGAAAUUCAAGUAAAUUAUUGUGAAUUCAUGUUCUAAAAUUUUUUGUAUUAAACUAUGAUUGCUAUAAAACCAGUAUCUUCUUGUCCUCCUAAUCUCCUCAAAUACCCAUAAUUACCUUCCUGUGUAUGAGUACUUUAAAAAUAAAUUAUCCAUGUCAAUUAAUAAAAAUCUUAAUGCAUAGAACUGCAGAUACUUUUGGGAUAUAAGAAUGGUUACUAAUAAUAGACUAAAAGUGAGUAUAAAAUCACAUAGGAUGGGAUAUAACAUUCAUCUAAAGGGACACAGCAAUCCUACACUAUAAUAAGUAUUAUUAAUACUUUGAACAAAUCAGGAGUUAUCAAAGGGAAAAUUUUGGACUAGAGAUGUUCAGUUGAAAGAGGGUUUGCCAAGCAAGCACAAGAUCCUAGGUUUGAUUCCCAGAGCCACAUGAAGUGUCCAUGUGGAUACAAUCAUAAUCAUAGCACUCUGACGUUGGCUGCAGGAUUAUUAGGUAGAGGCAGGUCAUCUUUGGUUAUGUAGAAAGUUUGAGGCCAGCUUAGGAUACAUGAGAGGUUGUCUCAAAAAAGUGAAACUUUGAUCAAUCAGUAAGCAAGUUUCUGAAGCCCCAUUUUGAGUUAGCAACACUACUAUUUCACUUAGGAUAGAAAAAAAACAUCUUGUAAAAUUACAUUUCAGAAAAUACUACACUGAUCCCAUUGAAAUUAUAGGUAAGAUAUAUUUAUAUGUAGUAAAUAAAACAAGACAGGAUAUUUAAUAUAAAUUUUAGUUUUUGUGAGCAAGUGAAAUACUUAGACACAACAACAAAAACCCUGAUAUAGACAGAAUUUAUGGCUACACCAAGAACAGGCAGACCAUAAUAUAUGUAGGAACUGUCUCAAGAGACUAUACACUCAGGUUGUAGUAUGAGUAGCAACAGAGAAACCUGGGCCAUAAAAAGAAUGCUUACAAAAUUCUACCCCAGCUUUGUCCUAUCUGCCUUUUCAAUGUAUUAUAUAUUUAAAGAUCUUUCUACUUAACUGGCCUUCUUAGAUUCCUUGAACAAAUUUCUACCCGCAAAUGUCACUACUAUGUAUAAGUCUUUCCCUGAUCACUCAAUAUGGAUAAUAUUCUAAUUUUCAUAGCCCUUUAGUUAGUUAUGUUAUCCACAGACUGUUAGAGGGUUUGACUUACUGCUAAAAAGACAGUUACUGAAUGAAAGCGUAUACUACUGGUUGAUGUACCAAAGAAAGAACAGCCAUUUCCAUAUCCCUUCUCUCCACACCAAGCAAAACAACAUCAGAGCAUCUGCUCCCAAAAUAGAGCAUAAAGAAGGAAC